rnacentral:rRNA from 1 species
UUUCGCCUACGGGGGGCAGCAGUGGGGGACAUUGGACAAUGGGGGGAACCCUGAUCCAGCGACGCCGCGUGAGUGAAGAAGUAUUUCGGUAUGUAAAGCUCUGUCAGCAGGGAAGAAAGAAAUGACGGUACCUGACCACGAAGCCCCGCCUAACUACGUGCCAGCAGCCGCGGUAAUACGUAUGGUGCACGCGUUAUCCGGAAUGACUGGGUGUAAAGGGAGCGUAGACGGUUGUACAAGUCUGAUGUGAAAGCCCACGGCUCAACUGUGGGAGUGCAUUGGAAACUG